AGUUGACGCCUGUGAUGGCGUGCCUUUUGCAUAAUGAGCCAACGAGUUAAUGUCAUAAGCGAGGUUAAGUAUUAGAGGUAUGUAGCCGUAGCGAAAGCGAGUCCGAAGAGGGCGUAUAAGUUUAUGGUAUUAGACCCGAAACCAGGUGAUCUACCUAUGGUCAGGUUGAAAGUUGGGUAAAACCAACUGGAGGACCGCACCAACCGUCGUUGAAAAGGCGGUGGAGGAACUGUGGGUAGGGGUGAAAGGCCAAACAAACCUGGAGAUAGCUGGUUCUCUCCGAAACAUAUUUAGGUAUGGCCUCAGUGGAGAUUAUUGGAGGUAGAGCACUGAAUGGGCUAGGGGGCUUACACGCUUACUGAACCCAAUCAAACUCCGAAUGCCAAUAAUUGCUCACUGGGAGACAGGGCGCGGGCGAUAAGGUUCGCGUGCGAGAGGGGAACAACCCAGACUGUCAGCUAAGGCCCCGAAAUAGAUACUUAGUGCGUAAGGAUGUUCAAUUGCCCAGACAGCCAGGAUCUUGGCUUAGAAGCAGCCAUGAUUUAAAGAGUGCGUAACAGCUCACUGGUCGAGUGGUAGGGCACCGAAGAUAAUCGGGACUGAAGUAUCUUGCCGAAGCUGCGGACUUGCAUAUAGAUGUGAGUGGUAGGAGAGCAUUGUGAUUGCGCAGAAGGUGUAUUGUGAGAUAUGCUGGAGCGGUCACAAGAGACCAUGUUGGCAUGAGUAACGAUAAUGCGGGUGAGAAACCCGCACACCAUAAGCCCAAGGAUUCCUGAGUAAAGUUAAUCUUCUCAGGGUUAGUCGGUCCCUAAGGUAUAGCGAUAAGGCGAAGCUGAUGGGAAUCAGGUUAAUAAUCCUGAACCUGAGUAUUGAGUGAAGGAGUGACGCGACGGUGCUGCAAGGACAGCUGUUGGAAUAGCUGUUGAAUGCAGGUAGGAAGUGAGACAGGUAAAUCCGUUUCACAGAUAUUCCGAGAUGCAGGACGAGGCGUAAGCCGUAAAGCUUGUUUAGAGACGUUGCCGAGAAAUAGCUUCUAGCGUUAAUCAAUAUUCAGACCGUACCGCAAACCGACACAGGUGGGCGAGGAGAGUAUCCUAAGGUGUUCGAGUGAACUCUGGUUAAGGAACUAGGCAAAAUUACCCCGUAACUUCGGGAGAAGGGGUGCCCCGUUAUCGUGAUUAGUCAGCGCUAUGAGCGAGAGGGGGCCGCAGUGAAUAGGCCCAAGCGACUGUUUAUCAAAAACACAGGUCUAUGCGAAGGCGAAAGCCACGGUAUAUAGACUGACACCUGCCCGGUGCCGGAAGGUUAAGUGGAGAGGUUAGCCUGCACUAAUUUUAUCAUAGUGAAGGGUGAAAAGUGAAGAAUGUAAAAUUUACAAUGUAUAAUGAAUGUGAGAGAUGGUGAAAUUAGUGCAGGCGAAGCUUCGAAAUGAAGCCCCGGUAAACGGCGGCCGUAACUAUAACGGUCCUAAGGUAGCGAAAUUCCUUGUCGGGUAAGUUCCGACCUGCACGAAUGGUGUAACGAUUUGGGCGCUGUCUCAACCAGGGGCUCGGUGAAAUUGAAGUAGCGGUGAAGAUGCCGCUUACCCGCGAACGGACGGAAAGACCCCGUGAACCUUUACUGUAGCUUGGCAUUGUAAAUUGGUGCAGUAUGUGUAGGAUAGGUGGGAGGCUAUGAGGCGUGCACGCCAGUGUGCGCGGAGCCAGCGUUGAAAUACCACCCUUAUUGUAUUGAUUUACUAACGAUAGAGCAACUAUUGGACAUUGCCAGGUGGGCAGUUUGACUGGGGCGGUCGCCUCCGAAAGAGUAACGGAGGCUUACCAAGGUUCCCUCCGGCUGGUUGGUAAUCAGCCAAAGAGCGCAAAGGUAUAAGGGAGCUUAACUGCGAGACCGACGGGUCGAGCAGGUGGGAAACCAGGUCUUAGUGAUCCGGCGGUUCUGAAUGGAAGGGCCGUUGCUCAAAGGAUAAAAGGUACUCCGGGGAUAACAGGCUGAUACCGCCCAAGAGUUCAUAUCGACGGCGGUGUUUGGCACCUCGAUGUCGGCUCAACUCAUCCUGGGGCUGAAGAAGGUCCCAAGGGUUCGGCUGUUCGCCGAUUAAAGAGUUACGCGAGCUGGGUUCAGAACGUCGUGAGACAGUUCGGUCCCUAUCCUUCGUGGGCGUAGGAAAUUUGAGGAGCACUGCAUUUAGUACGAGAGGACCGGUGUGGACGAACCUCUGGUGUACCGGUUGUGAUGCCAAUUGCAUUGCCGGGUAGCCAAGUUCGGUUAGGAUAACCGCUGAAAGCAUCUAAGCGGGAAGCCAGCUCCGAGAUAAGAUUUCCCCAUAGAGAGGUUGGAGACGACAACCUUGAUAGGUUACAGGUGUAAGCGCAGUAAUGCGUUGAGCCGAGUAAUACUAAUAACUCAAUUGGCUUUCAC
rnacentral:rRNA from 1 species